UAUGCUUCAAAUUCUAUAGUAGAAAUACUUUAUACUGCAUCCCAAACUUUUUUGCUGAGAGCCUUGGUAUUUGUAUAAUAUAUAGAUCAAAUAUAUAAUUGAAGGCCAGGAAACAAUGGUGGAAUAUUUUCACACUUUUUCAUAUAAAAAAAUAUCUCAUACUUGCUUCAACACUGAUGGGCAUUAAGAUUGAGCAAAACAAAUGCUAGCUAAUGAGAUCAUUUUUGUCUUUCUUUUAGUUGGCAUCUACGGAAUUGCAUUCAACAAACAAGAACAACGGAAUAGCAUAACCUUUCACAGGUUGGGUAAUCUUGGUUUUGUCCUAUGGAACUAUUUUCAUUGUAGCUCUUAUUUUAUCUAUCUGCUGAUCCGUAUAUUUUUUUCUAUUAGCUCCUUGUGGUUGAAGUUCAUUCCCCUGUAGUAUUAGUUUCUUUGUGUAUAUAUAUAAUUGCUCCAGAUACAAACCAACUAUGUUCCUCUACUAUAAUUGGUAAAGCCCAAGUUGAACUUUUUGAUUUAUAAUGUCUUAUUCAUCUUAAACAUGCAUUUCAAUGUAGGUAUUGAUCCCAAAAUGGGUCGAGAGCUAGUAGCUCCUCAGGUUAUCAAGCAAUCAGGUCAAAGUUUUUAAACUAGUUCUUUUAUUCAAUAUACUAUGGAGUUCACAGUUUCGUUUGAAGCUUUUCAAUUAUAGUGCUUUAUGACCAGGAAGGCAAUGGUAUUCUUGAAACUUUGUUGAAUGAGUUUAAGUACCCAAGCAGAUAUUGGAAUGCGUGUUCACACAAUUGCGAUACCUUUUAAGUUGGAUAUAAUUCUUUGAUUUUUGUUAUGUUUUAUUUGUUGUAAUUAAAAAGGAGAAAGUGGAGAAAAUAAGAGACGCAGUAGAGAAAUAAGCCUUUGGUAAUUAUUAGCUUAUAUUGUCAUGUAUUUAUAUAUGUAUGUGUAUGUAUAUUUGUAAGGAAGGCAUAGAGAAAUGAAAUUGGAAUCAGUUCUGAAAUUUCAAAGAAUUUAGCUUGUUGUAUGCCUCCAAGAUCUUAUAGUGACGAUGAGUUCAAGGUUAUUUAACAGACUUUGAGCAAGCUCAAGGUUUGAAAUGGUGGGGGAGUUGAGCAAUUACUCAAGUACUGUAAUGGUGUUUCGUCAAUGUACAAGAUAUACUUACUGCAUUGCUGGUUCACUCCCAAAUAAGUGGCGAAGUGACUCAACAUCAAAAGUUUUGAAGCUGUUUUAGAGAAGUAAUAGAGUAGUUUUAUUUUAUUAUUAUUAUUCUUAUUCUAUUAAGAUUUGUAUCACAGUACACAAGGUAGGAAAACUUGUUGGCAUAGACAAUGCAGUAGGUGUGUAAUUUUAUGAAUGCCACACUGUAUUUUGAUUGUUUUGAGA